rnacentral:rRNA from 1 species
GAAGCGCUGUGAGGCGUUAAGCUAACCGAUACUAAUUGCUCGUGAGGCUUGAUCCUA